CUGUAACAUUUACGUAAGUACCUAGCAACACUAUAUUCUCUGUCUACCAUACCUUCAUAAAUCGUUUGGAUACCGUGGAGAGAAGUAAUGCGAAGAAUACUUUCUAAAUGAAGAGGAUUGUAUUCUAAUAGGUUCGUUAUACAAAAAAAUUUUUUAUAAUGCUAUCUCAAUUAUAAAGUAAUUAUAAUUCAUUGUAUAUGAUGAUAUUAUCACUCAUUUUUAUGAUUUCUGAUUAUUCUUACAUGCAUCACCAGCUGAUUAAUUUUCUAACUGCUUUAAAUAUUACAUAUAAUUUUAAAAAGAUAAUCAAUAUAUAAUUUUUUUUUCAGGGUAAGGAUAAUAUAUAUUUUGAAAUACAAAGCCGUAAGCAAUUAAAUUUGUAUUAAAAAAACAAAUACAUUGUAUCUAUCAAUAUAAUAAGAAAUAAAUAUAAAAUAUAACAAUUAA